UCCACGCCGUAAACGAUGUCAACUAGCCGUUGGGUCUAUUUAUAGACUUAGUGGCGGAGCUAACGUAUUAAGUUGACCGCCUGGGGAGUACGGCCGCAAGGUUAAAACUCAAAUGAAUUGACGGGGGCCCGCACAAGCGGUGGAGCAUGUGGUUUAAUUCGAUGCAACGCGAAGAACCUUACCUACCCUUGACAUGUAGUGAACUUACCAGAGAUGGUUUGGUGCCUUCGGGAACACUAACACAGGUGCUGCAUGGCUGUCGUCAGCUCGUGUCGUGAGAUGUUGGGUUAAGUCCCGUAACGAGCGCAACCCUUAUCCUUAGUUGCUAGCAGGUAAUGCUGAGAACUCUAGGGAGACUGCCAGUGA
rnacentral:rRNA from 1 species